rnacentral:rRNA from 1 species
AGAUUGAACGCUGGCGGCAGGCCUAACACAUGCAAGUCGAGCGGUAGAGAGGUGCUUGCACCUCUUGAGAGCGGCGGACGGGUGAGUAAUGCCUAGGAAUCUGCCUAGUGGUGGGGGAUAACGUUCGGAAACGGACGCUAAUACCGCAUACGUCCUACGGGAGAAAGCGGGGGACCUUCGGGCCUCGCGCCAUUAGAUGAGCCUAGGUCGGAUUAGCUAGUUGGUGAGGUAAUGGCUCACCAAGGCGACGAUCCGUAACUGGUCUGAGAGGAUGAUCAGUCACACUGGAACUGAGACACGGUCCAGACUCCUACGGGAGGCAGCAGUGGGGGAAUAUUGGACAAUGGGCGAAAGCCUGAUCCAGCCAUGCCGGCGUGUGUAGGAAGUAAGGGUCUUC